GACGAACGCUGGCGGCGCGCCUAACACAUGCAAGUCGAACGGAGCUGCGAGAAGCUUGCUUUUCUUAGCUUAGUGGCGAACGGGUGAGUAACGCGUGAGUAACCUGCCCUGGAGUGGGGGACAACAGUUGGAAACGACUGCUAAUACCGCAUAAGCCCACGAUCCGGCAUCGGAUUGAGGGAAAAGGAUUUAUUCGCUUCAGGAUGGACUCGCGUCCAAUUAGCUAGUUGGUGAGGUAACGGCCCACCAAGGCGACGAUUGGUAGUCGGACUGAGAGGUUGAACGGCCACAUUGGGACUGAGACACGGCCCAGACUCCUACGGGAGGCAGCAGUGGGGGAUAUUGCACAAUGGGGGAAACCCUGAUGCAGCGACGCCGCGUGGAGGAAGAAGGUUUUCGGAUUGUAAACUCCUGUCGUUAGGGACGAUAAUGACGGUACCUAACAAGAAAGCACCGGCUAACUACGUG
rnacentral:rRNA from 1 species